rnacentral:lncRNA from 1 species
AACCUUAGGUAAAAAACUGGAAAAGGAGAAGCAGGAAAAGGCAAAAAAACUGACCACAGUCCUUCCCUGACUCAGCUUUCACCCUGUCGCAGGCCCCAGCUGGAGAAGAUAGAACUUUAAAUGAAGGCUGAAGUUGUGGUGCAAUCAUGGCUCACUGCAGCCUUGAGGUCCUGGGCUCAGGACAUUCUCAUGCCGCAGCCUCUUGAGUAGCUGGGAAUGCAGGUCUGGUAAGUAAAGGAAAAACUUAGCAAGAGAGAGAAGAAAUAGGAGAAGAGGUUAGCAAGAGAGAAGAAGAAAAGGUGGAG